rnacentral:misc_RNA from 1 species
UGUGGGAGCGGGCUUGCCCGCGAUAGCGAUGUGUCUGUCACCCACAAUGUUGAAUGUGACGCCGCCAUCGCGGGCAAGCCCGCUCCCACG